CAGUAUCAUUAGAAUUUUUAAAAGGUUCCAAUACUCUUUAGAUUUCCAGGUAAGGGUUUUAAUUACUCUCUCAACAGGUAAAGGUAUUAGAAUCAUUAGCAGAGUUAUAGAAGGAUCCAAUUCUCUCUAAGUCCCCAGGUAAGGGUUCUAAUUGCUCUCUCAACAGGUAAACGGUAUCAGAAUUGUUUUAGAAGUAUCUAAUUCCCUCUAUAUCUCCAGGUAAGGGGUUUAAUUGCUCUCUCAACAGGUAAACGGUAUCAGAAUCAUUAGAAUUGUUAUAGGUUCCAAUGCUCUUUAAGUCCCCAGGUAAGGGUUCUAAUUGCUCUCUCAACAGGUAAACGGUAUCAGAAUUGUUUUAGAAGUAUCUAAUUCCCUCUAUAUCUCCAGGUAAGGGGUUUAAGUACUCUCUCAACAGGUAUAAGGUAUUAGAAUCGUUAGUAUUGUUAUAGAAGG